rnacentral:rRNA from 2 species
AUGCUGGAGGUAUCAGAAGUGCGAAUGCUGACAUAAGUAACGAUAAAGCGGGUGAAAAGCCCGCUCGCCGGAAGACCAAGGGUUCCUGUCCAACGUUAAUCGGGGCAGGGUGAGUCGACCCCUAAGGCGAGGCCGAAAGGCGUAGUCGAUGGGAAACAGGUUAAUAUUCCUGUACUUGGUGUUACUGCGAAGGGGGGACGGAGAAGGCUAUGUUGGCCGGGCGACGGUUGUCCCGGUUUAAGCGUGUAGGCUGGUUUUCCAGGCAAAUCCGGAAAAUCAAGGCUGAGGCGUGAUGACGAGGCACUACGGUGCUGAAGCAACAAAUGCCCUGCUUCCAGGAAAAGCCUCUAAGCAUCAGGUAACAUCAAAUCGUACCCCAAACCGACACAGGUGGUCAGGUAGAGAAUACCAAGGCGCUUGAGAGAACUCGGGUGAAGGAACUAGGCAAAAUGGUGCCGUAACUUCGGGAGAAGGCACGCUGAUAUGUAGGUGAAGUCCCUCGCGGAUGGAGCUGAAAUCAGUCGAAGAUACCAGCUGGCUGCAACUGUUUAUUAAAAACACAGCACUGUGCAAACACGAAAGUGGACGUAUACGGUGUGACGCCUGCCCGGUGCCGGAAGGUUAAUUGAUGGGGUCAGCGCAAGCGAAGCUCUUGAUCGAAGCCCCGGUAAACGGCGGCCGUAACUAUAACGGUCCUAAGGUAGCGAAAUUCCUUGUCGGGUAAGUUCCGACCUGCACGAAUGGCGUAAUGAUGGCCAGGCUGUCUCCACCCGAGACUCAGUGAAAUUGAACUCGCUGUGAAGAUGCAGUGUACCCGCGGCAAGACGGAAAGACCCCGUGAACCUUUACUAUAGCUUGACACUGAACAUUGAGCCUUGAUGUGUAGGAUAGGUGGGAGGCUUUGAAGUGUGGACGCCAGUCUGCAUGGAGCCGACCUUGAAAUACCACCCUUUAAUGUUUGAUGUUCUAACGUGGACCCGUGAUCCGGGUUGCGGACAGUGUCUGGUGGGUAGUUUGACUGGGGCGGUCUCCUCCUAAAGAGUAACGGAGGAGCACGAAGGUUGGCUAAUCCUGGUCGGACAUCAGGAGGUUAGUGCAAUGGCAUAAGCCAGCUUGACUGCGAGCGUGACGGCGCGAGCAGGUGCGAAAGCAGGUCAUAGUGAUCCGGUGGUUCUGAAUGGAAGGGCCAUCGCUCAACGGAUAAAAGGUACUCCGGGGAUAACAGGCUGAUACCGCCCAAGAGUUCAUAUCGACGGCGGUGUUUGGCACCUCGAUGUCGGCUCAUCACAUCCUGGGGCUGAAGUAGGUCCCAAGGGUAUGGCUGUUCGCCAUUUAAAGUGGUACGCGAGCUGGGUUUAGAACGUCGUGAGACAGUUCGGUCCCUAUCUGCCGUGGGCGCUGGAGAACUGAGGGGGGCUGCUCCUAGUACGAGAGGACCGGAGUGGACGCAUCACUGGUGUUCGGGUUGUCAUGCCAAUGGCACUGCCCGGUAGCUAAAUGCGGAAGAGAUAAGUGCUGAAAGCAUCUAAGCACGAAACUUGCCCCGAGAUGAGUUCUCCCUGACCCUUUAAGGGUCCUGAAGGAACGUUGAAGACGACGACGUUGAUAGGCCGGGUGUGUAAGCGCAGCGAUGCGUUGAGCUAACCGGUACUAAUGAACCGUGAGGCUUAACCUUACAACGCCGAAGGUGUUU